UUGAUUUAGGGUUCCUUUCGUCUAUGUAAAUUAAUAUUUUAUAAGUAAUUGAACUAAAAUUUUUUACUGAGGAUUUAAGUACCGUGGGGGAAAGCUUUUUUAAAUAAGAAGUAGGUAUCGUACCUUUUGUAUCAGGGUUUACUUAUUAGAAUCUAGAAUUAGGAUUUCCCGAAAAGAGAUGAGUUAUUUACUUUCAAUGUUUUUGUGUUAUAAACCUAUUGAAAAAGUAAAUCGUUGCUAUAAGUAAUUCGUAUCUCUAUAUCUGGUUGAUUGUGUCUCUUUUCAGAAGUGAGCAAAUUUUUGCUUUAUUCAUUGGGGGAUGAGCUCUUAUGAGAUUUAUAUUAUUAGAGUUACUAAUUGGCUGUUUAGGCUUAAAAAUUGCCUCUUUGUAAUAAUUACUUCAGGAAUUAUUUUAUUUACUUAUAAUUAAGGUUUAAACAAUCUACCUUUUGUAAUUUUUUUAUUGAUUAAUAAUGGUAAAAUUAGUAAAAGUAAAAUUAUCUAUCUUCAUUACUUAUUUUAGAGUGAAUGUUAAAUCGUAAAAGGAACUCGGCAAUUUCAGUUUCCGCCUGUUUAACAAAAACAUGGCCUUUUACAUCUUUAAGGUCUGGCCUGCCCACUGAAUUUUAAAGGGCCGUGGUAUACUGACCAUGCGAAGGUAGCAUAAUCAUUUGCCUCUUGAUUAGGGGCUGGAAUGAAAGGUUGGACGAGAAACUAGCUGUCUCUUUCGAUUAUUUGAAUUUAAUUAUUUGGUGAAAAAGCUAAGAUAUUCUUGGAGGACGAUAAGACCCUAUAGAUCUUUAUAGAUUAGGCUUUAAUUCUUUAGAUGUCAAUGUCUUAAAGUUGAAUUUAUUUUGUUGGGGCGACAUUGAGUGAUGAUGAAUCUCUCAUAAUAGCAUUACAAUAAUAAUUGGUGAAUGAUCCUUAGGUGAAUUAGGAUAAAGUUACCUUAGGGAUAACAGCGUAAUUCUUUUUGAGAGUUCUUAUCGACAAAAGAGUUUGCGACCUCGAUGUUGGUUCAGGAUUCCUUUCUGGCGCAGUAGCUUGAUAAGGUAGUCUGUUCGACUAUUAAAUUCCUACGUGAUCUGAGUUCAGACCGGCGUAAGCCAGGUUAGUUUCUACCCUCAAGCUUUGUCGAUUAAAGUAGUACGAAAGGACCCUUUAAUCUUUUGUCAUAAAUAUUGUUAAUCGUUAUUUGAAAGCACUUAACUUGUUU
rnacentral:rRNA from 1 species